rnacentral:rRNA from 1 species
AUGGCUAUGAAGAGCAGACUAAUUUUGGCUGAAUCUCUUGGAUAUACCUCCAUACAAAUUGAAUCAGAUGCCUUAGAGGUUGUUAAUGCAUGUUCAGGCCAAGAGAGGAUGUGGAGCGAAGCUACUGCUAUAUAUGCGGACUGUUUUAUUAUAGCUGGAAUGAUUGGGAAUGUUGAGUUCACACAUUGCCGAUGGGAAGCAAAUGAAGCUGCGCACAAUUUAGCUAAAUUUUCUUAUGAGAAUAAUGUUUCUUGUAAUUGGGUUGAUGAACCCCCAGAUUUUCUUAUAAACUCUUUAGUGAACGAUGUAACGAUUUUGCCAAAUCAAUAA